rnacentral:pre_miRNA from 1 species
AAAGUACUCCCACCGUCCCAAAAUUCUUUUCUUAGAUUUGUCUAGAUACGGAUGUAUCAAGUCACAUUUUAGUAUUAGAUACAUCUGUAUCUAGAAAAAUCUAAGACAAGAAAUUUGGGACAGAGGGAGUAGUUG